CUCUCUCAGAUAGACGCCUCUCAUUAUGGUUUCUCCCCUUCCUACCUCCGACGAAAAUCCAUUGCCUCCUCUCUUCUUCUCCUCCUCUCCCCUCCCUCACUCUCUCGAUCGUCCCUCUCUUACUCCCACACCGACCCUAGCCACUCCCACCACCAGCGCACCACCACGAGGUUUUGACCUCCAUGGUAAUGCGUGUUUGGAAACCGUAGCUCUACAAUGAUUCCCUCCUUAAGGUGAUUUCUAUCUGCGUUUGCCAAGGCCCAAGGAUAUGAACCUUCCAUUUCUCGAGUUCCACAGCUAAAUUUACCAUUGGUUGAGCUGCAUGUUAUGAAUUUAGGUUGGCUUCUUUGUGUACCUGAUGUGUAAAAACAUGCAAUUAUGUCAGUGUCUUUAAUGUGAAAUUAACAUUUGUUCUUUCUUAAAAUGGUGUAAUAUUUUAUUCAGUCAUGUAAUUUCUUUCUUUUUAC